CUCUGUCACUAUCGUAUAUCUUCGGAAACCAAGAUAACGACGUCACAGGGGCAGUAACAGCAGAAAACUCGCCUCGUGAUUCUUUUGUAACCCUGCCUAAUGAAGAGGAGGCAACUGAAGAUGUUCAUUCCCCCGUGUAAAAAACCUUUCUACUUUACUGUUUGCUCUCCUUUUCUCCAGUGUGGUGUGUGAUGUUUGCUCUUGUGGCAAAACCUUUCUACUUUACUGUUUGCUCUCUUUUCCUCCAGAGUGUGCUGUGUGAUGUUUGCUCUUGUCGCAGCGGAGUAUAAUAACAAUGUACUUAUAUACUUGCUUAAUAAGCUGCCAACUAACGACGAAAUUUGGAUUGCAGUUUUUGCGUGUAAAAGGGUGUUUGGCUAAGUUUAUUUGAAUAGCUUAUAAGAUU
rnacentral:lncRNA from 1 species